UACGGAGGAUCCAAGCGUUAUCCGGAAUUACUGGGCGUAAAGAGUUGCGUAGGUGGCAUUGUAAGUCUGUAGUGAAAGCGUGGGGCUCAACCCCAUACACAUUAUGGAAACUGCAAAGCUAGAGGAUGAGAGAGGUUAUUGGAAUUCCCUGUGUAGGAGUGAAAUCCGCAGAUAUAGGGAGGAACACCGAUGGCGUAGGCAGAUAACUGGCUCAUUCCUGACACUAAGGCACGAAAGCGUGGGGAGCAAACGGG
rnacentral:rRNA from 1 species